rnacentral:lncRNA from 1 species
UAGCUGUUCGUACAUGUCCUAGGCUUACUAGCAAUUUACUCAGCAGAUCAGGCGGAUGGUCACCCAAAGUUCUAUGAAAGUUUUCGCUAGACGUGACUACAAUUUAGCGAACGACACAUGAAAGAUGAAACGUCUUUUUCUUAAAAAUUAAAUGUUUGAGACUUGAGAGUGCGUGAAAAUACUAGAAAUCAUCGAUAAAACCUACAAGGAAGCCAACCAACAACGGACAUUCUACUAUUUUGGCAGGAAAAGAAACUUCUCUUAAACGCUUACACUCCAAGUGGCGGCGUUGUUGAUGAAAAAGUACAUCGCGGGAAUCCCAAAAAGAAAUGCACAGACCAUGUGAAAUAUCGCGUGACACAAGAUCUUCUCGCCAUGCCACACUUUCAUGAAGAUGUAGAAAGUGAAAUACAAAAACAGAUUAGUGACGAGGAUUCCCAACAUGUAGGAAGCGAAAUCUGGAGGCCGGUACACCAAUCCAUACAUCGCCCAACCAAUAUUGGCGAUGAAGCUGUGCGCUUGCCUGUACAUUCAUAAUCGUCAGCCUUGACGACGAAAACAACGAAGAAUCCAUCGGGGAAUCGUUCUCGCUGAACAGAAUACAAACACCGAGGCGGGGACGAGAUUCAUAAAUUGGCCGCGCUGCUUCCCCAUAUCCGGUUCUCACAGUUUGGCACAUCUGCAUUCUGCAAAACUCGGCCAGUAUCAGUAAACCUCAAAGGCUCAAACACAAUAUGGCGUUUAAUUAAAGUAUG